AUUCCUUGAUUCAGUGGACAUGAUAUUGUGGAUACAUAAAACAAAAUCAGUAUAAUGAAAAGUUAAAAAUCAGCAAACACAAAGAAAACAAACCAAUAACCAUAAAACAUUGUGGGAAAGAUUUUAAAUAAUCAAAAAUAAAACUUGAAUUCAUUAUUUGCAUGUAUACAUUCAAAGAGGUGCAAAGUAGAGCUGAACAUUUUGGGAGAAGCAUCAAUUUGAUAGAAUACAAAUUAUUUGGAAGCCUCUUUUUCCUACAACAACAACAGAUUCAUCACUAACCAAUAUAAAUCAUGGUUUCAAGUUUUUUUUUUUGGCUUUGACUAAAAAUAGUCCAAGAAGAAAAUAAGGUCAAAAACAUGAAAGAUAU
rnacentral:sRNA from 1 species